rnacentral:rRNA from 1 species
CAAUAGCGUAUAUUAAAGUUGUUGCAGUUAAAAAGCUCGUAGUUGGAUUUCUGGUGGGAGCGAUCGGUCUGGCGCUUAGCGCGAGUACUUGCAUCGUCUCCGGCCAUCCUUGGGGAGUGUCUGUCUGGCAUUAGGUUGUCGGGCAGAGGAUCCUCAUCGUUUACUGUGAAAAAAUUAGAGUGUUCAAAGCAGGCUUAUGCCGUUGAAUAUAUUAGCGUGGAAUAAUAAGAUAGGACUUUGGUACUAUUUUGUUGGUUUGCGCACCAAAGUAAUGAUUAAUAGGGACAGUUGGGGGUAUUCGUAUUCCGUUGUCAGAGGUGAAAUUCUUGGAUUUACGGAAGACGAACUACUGCGAAAGCAUUUACCAAGGAUGUUUUCAUUAA